rnacentral:rRNA from 1 species
GAUGAACGCUGGCGGCGUGUCUAUUACAUGCAAGUCGAGCGAACGGACGAGAAGCUUGCUUCUCUGAUGUUAGCGGCGGACGGGUGAGUAACACGUGGAUAACCUACCUAUAAGACUGGGAUAACUUCGGGAAACCGUAGCUAAUACCGGAUAAUAUUUUGAACCGCAUGGUUCAAAAGUGAAAGACGGUCUUGCUGUCACUUAUAGAUGGAUCCGCGCUGCAUUAGCUAGUUGGUAAGGUAACGGCUUACCAAGGCAACGAUGCAUAGCCGACCUGAGAGGGUGAUCGGCCACACUGGAACUGAGACACGGUCCAGACUCCUACGGGAGGCAGCAGUAGGGAAUCUUCCGCAAUGGGCGAAAGCCUGACGGAGCAACGCCGCGUGAGUGAUGAAGGUCUUCGGAUCGUAAAACUCUGUUAUUAGGGAAGAACAUAUGUGUAAGUAACUGUGCACAUCUUGACGGUACCUAAUCAGAAAGCCACGGCUAACUACGUG